GAAAUGCGAUAAGUAGUGUGAAUUGCAGAAUUCAGUGAAUCAUCGAAUCUUUGAACGCACAUUGCGCCCCUUGGUAUUCCAUGGGGCAUGCCUGUUCGAGCGUCAUUUGUACCCUCAAGCUCUGCUUGGUGUUGGGUGUUUGUCCCCGUCUCCGCGCGUGGACUCGCCCCAAAGUGAUUGGCAGCCGGCGUACUGGUCCCGGAGCGCAGCACAUGUCGCGCAAACGAGUGCCUUGGUACGGCGGCGUCCAUAAGCCCCUCUCUCACGCUCUUGACCUCGGAUCAGGUAGGGAUACCCACUGAACUUAAGC
rnacentral:misc_RNA from 1 species